rnacentral:rRNA from 1 species
UAAGCGGAGGAAAAGAAACCAACAGGGAUUGCCCUAGUAACGGCGAGUGAAGCGGCAACAGCUCAAAUUUGAAAUCUGGCUACUUUGUAGUCCGAGUUGUAAUUUGUAGAGGAUGCUUUUGGUGAAGUGCUUUCUGAGUUCCCUGGAACGGGACGCCAGAGAGGGUGAGAGCCCCGUACAGUUAGCAACUGAUCCUUUGUAUAGCUCCUUCGACGAGUCGAGUAGUUUGGGAAUGCUGCUCUAAAUGGGAGGUAUAUCUCUUCUAAAGCUAAAUAUAGGCUAGAGACCGAUAGCGCACAAGUAGAGUGAUCGAAAGAUGAAAAGCACUUUGAAAAGAGAGUUAAACAGCACGUGAAAUUGUUGAAAGGGAAGCGCCUAUGACCAGACUUGUCUCUAUCAGUUUUGGUAGUUUUCGGACUGCUUUACUCUGUUAGUACAGGCCAACAUCAGUUUGUUGUCGGGGAGAAAGGCUUAGGGAAUGUGGCUCCCUCGGGAGUGUUAUAGACCUUUGCAUAAUACCCUUCGGCAGACUGAGGACCGCGCUUCGGCAAGGAUGUUGGCGUAAUGGUCAUCAGCGACCCGUCUUGAAACACGGACCAAGGAGUCAACCUUAUAUGCGAGUGUUUGGGUGUAAAACCCCAGUGCGUAAUGAAAGUGAACGUAGGUGAGAGCUUCGGCGCAUCAUCGACCGAUUCUGAUGUUCUCGGAUGGAUUUGAGUAAGAGCAUAUAGGGUUGGACCCGAAAGAAGGUGAACUAUGCUUGUAUAGGGUGAAGCCAGAGGAAACUCUGGUGGAGGCUCGCAGCGGUUCUGACGUGCAAAUCGAUCGUCAAAUAUGAGCAUGGGGGCGAAAG